rnacentral:rRNA from 1 species
GGUCCAGACUCCUACGGGAGGCAGCAGUGGUUCCUCUUGGGCAAUUUCCUCAAGUCUGCCCCAGCAACGCCGCGUGCCGGAAGAAGGCUUUCGGGUUGUACCCUUCUUUUAAGGGGGCAGAGCAGAAGCCGGUACCCCUUGAAUCAGCCACGGCUAACUACGUGCCAGCAGCCGCGGUAAUACGUAGGUGGCAAGCGUUGUCCGGAUUUACUGGGGGUAAAGGGCGGGCAGCCGGAGAGACAAGUCAGAUGUGAAAUCCACGGGCUCAACCCGUGAACUGCAGUUGAAACUGUUUCCCUUGAGGGGCGGAGAGGUAAGCGGAAUUCCUUGGGGAGCGGUGAAAGGCGGAGAUAUAAGGAAGAACACCAGUGGCGAAGGCGGAUUACGGGACGAUAACUGACGGUGAGGCGCGAAAGCGUGGGGAGCAAACAGGGUUAGAUACCCCUGUA